AUUCAGCUGACGAGUCUCAAAUAUUAUGAAACAUGUGUCCUGGAU
rnacentral:hammerhead_ribozyme from 1 species